GUGAACGCUGGCGGUAGGCCUAACCCCUGCCAGUCGCACGGCAGCACAGUAAGAGCUUGCUCUUACGGGUGGCGAGUGGCGGACGGGUGAGGAAUACAUCGGAAUCUACUUUUUCGUGGGGGAUAACGUAGGGAAACUUACGCUAAUACCGCAUACGACCUACGGGUGAAAGCAGGGGAUCUUCGGACCUUGCGCGAUUGAAUGAGCCGAUGUCGGAUUAGCUAGUUGGCGGGGUAAAGGCCCACCAAGGCGACGAUCCGUAGCUGGUCUGAGAGGAUGAUCAGCCACACUGGAACUGAGACACGGUCCAGACUCCUACGGGAGGCAGCAGUGGGGAAUAUUGGACAAUGGGUGCAAGCCUGAUCCAGCCAUACCGCGUGGGUGAAGAAGGCCUUCGGGUUGUAAAGCCCUUUUGUUGGGAAAGAAAAGCAGCAGGUUAAUACCCCGCUGUUCUGACGGUACCCAAAGAAUAAGCACCGGCUAACUUCGUG
rnacentral:rRNA from 1 species